AGAGUUUGAUUAUGGCUCAGGAUGAACGCUGGCGGCGUGCCUAACACAUGCAAGUCGAACGAAGCUCUUACGACAGAACUCUUCGGAGGGAAGAUGUAAGAGACUGAGUGGCGGACGGGUGAGUAACGCGUGGGUAACCUGCCCUAUACAGGGGGACAACAGUUGGAAACGACUGCUAAUACCGCAUAAGCGCACAGUACCGCAUGGUACAGAGCGAAAAACUCCGGUGGUAUAGGAUGGGCCCGCGUCUGAUUAGCUAGUUGGAGGUGUAACGGACCACCAAGGCGACGAUCAGUAGCCGGCUUGAGAGAGUGAACGGCCACAUUGGGACUGAGACACGGCCCAA
rnacentral:rRNA from 1 species